rnacentral:lncRNA from 1 species
AUGGAAAGUGCUGAGAGCAGCGGACGGGAAAGCGCUGGAGGCGCCAGCGAGACGUGGAGCGCGACCGCCAAUGGGGGCCACGAUCGAAGCAGAGGAGAGUUCGUGUGGACGCUGCAGGCCACUUGGCAGCUCGUUCGGACACGCCUCUCCAUGGACUCUGAGUUCAGCCGGCCCGUGUGCAAGAAGAAGAAGCUGUGGGAGACACUGGCGGAGAGGGUGACGGGCGAGCUGCGGGCGGCGGGCAACCCCGACGUCACGGUCAAAGCCUUCGAAUGUGACCUUAAGUGGAGGAACAUGCUGGCGACGUACAGGAAGAACGCCGAGAGAGCCAAGAGGCUGGGCACCCACAACGUCCACUGGGAGUUCUUCCAGGCCAUGCACAAGGUCCUGGGCCAGAGCAAGGGGGAGGACAAGGCGCAGAAGAAGGCGAAGCUGGACCCAACCAAGCUGAGCAGCUCCCUGGCCAGCAAGCGGUUCACGCCAAUCCUUCCGAACCUGCCGUUGCCCACCACCCCUUUCCCUUCCCGUCCUCCCCAGGACGUCCUGCAGCUGUAUCUCGAGCUGCAGGAGAGGAAAAUGAACAUGUGGACGCAACAAAAGGCCUUGGAGGAGCGAAAGAUCGAAGCCAUUAACAAUCUGGCCCGAGCGAUCUCGAGUCUGGCCGAGGACGCCAAUGCCGAGCUGCCCAAAGAGAGCGGUUGCAGCUAGGCGGACGUGGACAGGGAUGUGGCAGGAACGGCUUUAUUUCGUGCAACGGAUUUUAGAUUACGCCAGUGCUUUCCUUAAAUUUUGGCCUCAUUGCAUAACUGCAUUCAUUUCUUUAAAAAAAAAAAAAAAAAAAACCAGGAAAUUAUGCAUCUUGAAUUUUCGUAGCAUGUAUACAUGAGUAUGGCCCUGUCACAUUUGAGCCCAGGCUCUCAGAGAAGUUUCGCUUUCUAACUCCUCUUUUGCUUCAACAGCUUGUCUUUCUGCACUUUUGUCUACAUCGGGACUUUCUGUUCUUACAAGGUGCAGAAGGAUUUUAAUGAUACAAAUAAAAGCUGUACAGGCAGACA